ensembl:piRNA 21ur-4163 ncRNA
UAAUACAUGGUAAUUUGAAAU